rnacentral:rRNA from 1 species
GUGGGGAAUCUUCCGCAAUGGACGAAAGUCUGACGGAGCAACGCCGCGUGAACGAUGACGGCCUUCGGGUUGUAAAGUUCUGUUAUACGGGACGAAUGGUACGACGGCCAAUACCCGUCGUAAGUGACGGUACCGUAAGAGAAAGCCACGGCUAACUACGUGCCAGCAGCCGCGGUAAUACGUAGGUGGCAAGCGUUGUCCGGAAUUAUUGGGCGUAAAGGGCGCGCAGGCGGCGUCGUAAGUCGGUCUUAAAAGUGCGGGGCUUAACCCCGUGAGGGGACCGAAACUGCGAUGCUAGAGUAUCGGAGAGGAAAGCGGAAUUCCUAGUGUAGCGGUGAAAUGCGUAGAGAUUUGGAAGAACACCAGUGGCGAAGGCGACUUUCUGGACGAUGUCUGACGCUGAGGCGCGAAAGCUAGGGGAGCGAACGGGAUUAGAUACCCCGGUAGUCC